UAUACUAAAGAGAAGCUGUGAUGCUGGCAACUGGAAUAUACUAAAGAGAAGCUGUAAGCUGUUAAGUGCUCCUUUAAGUGAAAAGAUGCUUACUCAAGCUGUGUGACCACCAGCCUACAAGACUGCACUGCAAUUCACUUGGAACUUCCUACAGGACCACCCAGAAGCUGCAGCUGGUGCUGCGGACGUGGGCGCCUGUUUACAUGAGAAUUGUUUGCAUUGCAAGUGACAUCUGGCUGACAGGAACUUGGAGAAAUGGGAUACGAAGUGAAUGCUGCAGUUACAACAAGCAUCAUAUUUAUCAAAAGGUUUCAGGAGUAAAAUCUAAGUUUGUUAUAGAAGAACAGAUUGUGGAUUAACCUGGAUCUGAGUUCAAAUUUAAUGCCCAGCUCUACGCAGCUGUGUGAUUUCCAGAAAACCAGUUCAUCCCUCUGACCCUCAACUUCCUCAUUGAAGAAUUGAGGCAGUGUUAUCAUUCAUUCAUUUAACCAUAGUGUAGUGAGCUCAUUUUAUGUAUAAGGUACCUUGGUAUACAUUGCGGACAUACAAGGAGUGUAACAUGUCUCUUGUCCUUGAGAGCUUACAGCCUCAUGGCAGUCAGUCAUGGAAAUGGGCCUGACAGGUCCCAGGGGAACACAGAUGGCA